rnacentral:rRNA from 1 species
GACGAACGCUGGCGGUGUGCUUAACACAUGCAAGUCGAACGGAAAGGCCCUGCUUUUGUGGGGUGCUCGAGUGGCGAACGGGUGCGUAACACGUGAGUAACCUGCUCUUGACUUUGGGAUAACUUCAGGAAACUGGGGCUAAUACCGGAUAGGAGCUCCUGCUGCAUGGUGGGGGUUGGAACGUUUCGGCGGUUGGGGAUGGACUCGCGGCUUAUCAGCUUGUUGGUGGGGUAGUGGCUUACCAAGGCUUUGACGGGUAGCCGGCCUGAGAGGGUGACCGGCCACAUUGGGACUGAGAUACGGCCCAGACUCCUACGGGAGGCAGCAGUGGGGAAUAUUGCACAAUGGGCGGAAGCCUGAUGCAGCAACGCCGCGUGCGGGAUGACGGCCUUCGGGUUGUAAACCGCUUUCGCCUGUGACGAAGCGUGAGUGACGGUAAUGGGUAAAGAAGCACCGGCUAACUACGUG